rnacentral:tRNA from 1 species
GCCCCGUUAGCUCAGACGGCAGAGCGUCUCCAUGGUAAGGAGAAGGUCCACAGUUCGAUUCUGUGACGGGGCU